rnacentral:rRNA from 1 species
CGGACGGGUGAGUAAUGUCUGGGAAACUGCCUGAUGGAGGGGGAUAACUACUGGAAACGGUAGCUAACACCGCAUAACGUCGCAAGACCAAAGAGGGGACCUUCGGGCCUCUUGCCAUCGGAUGUGCCCAGAUGGGAUUAGCUAGUAGGUGGGGUAAAGGCUCACCUAGGCGACGAUCCCUAGCUGGUCUGAGAGGAUGACCAGCCACACUGGAACUGAGACACGGUCCAG